ACACGUAGGGGGCGAGCGUUGUCCGGAAUCACUGGGCGUAAAGGGCGUGUAGGUGGCUGAGAAAGUCAGGUGUGAAAAGCCUCGGCUCAACCGAGGACCAGCACAUGAAACUAAGCAGCUUGAGUGCAGGAGAGGGGAGCGGAAUUCCCGGUGUAGCGGUGAAAUGCGUAGAUAUCGGGAAGAACACUGGUGGCGAAGGCGGCUCUCUGGACUGUAACUGACACUGAGGCGCGAAAGCUGGGGUAGCGAACGGGAUUAGAUACCCCGGUAGUCCCAGCCGUAAACAAUGGGUACUAAGUGUUGGCAGUUAACUGUCAGUGCCGCAGUGAACGCAUUAAGUAUCCCGCCUGGGGAGUACGGUCGCAAGGCUGAA
rnacentral:rRNA from 1 species